UACGGAGGGUGCAAGCGUUGUUCGGAAUCAUUGGGCGUAAAGCGCGCGCAGGUGGCUUAUUAAGUCUGGUGUGAAAGCCCAGGGCUCAACCCUGGAACUGCAUUGGAAACUAGUAGGCUUGAGUCCAAGAGGGGUUGGUAGAAUUCCUGGUGUAGGGGUGAAAUCCGUAGAGAUCAGGAGGAAUACCGGUGGCGAAGGCGACCAACUGGAUUGGAACUGACACUGAGGCGCGAAAGUGUGGGGAGCAAACAGG
rnacentral:rRNA from 1 species